UACUUAGGAGUAUAGGGAGAAGCAUGCCAGAAAAUUCCUUUCAUCUGUGGCCUUAUUGAAAUCCAGAAAGUGGAUACAUGCUCUGAUUGCUAAAUGCAUGGUCCAUCCUAGAGAUUUUUCUGCCUUCUGUUAUGUAACUGAUUUCCCUAAGGCACUCACCCAGACCUGACCUGUGCAGGCAUUAGGAAGCAGCUUCAGAACCACCCCAUCUUUUCACCAAGUUCCCAUGGCUUUCAAGCUUGGUUAUGGUUGAAAUACGUUGGUGUCAUCUCGUGGCAGAAUUCUGAACUGCAGCUUGAACACCCCAGGCAGUAAAGAGGUGCCAGAUUUCCUGCUGUGUACUGUGUAGAGAAGCCUAUCAAAUACUCAAGCAAGCAAAACCCAUGCAUUUGGCACACUGCUGUUCAAAACAGGAGUUUCACAAAGAGUAAGUCUGAUUCUCCCGAGUAGGCUCUGCCUUUCUAUAGAAUUCACUGGUUUGGAUUUCACAUGCCACUCAUCUCCCCAGAUAGCUGCUGCACCUGGAGCUAAAACACAGCGGGGUGCGGACGGCCGGGGUGGGGGGUGGG